GGAUGCACAGAAAAAGAAUGAUGCUGAGGGUAUUGGGAAGAAGAGCAUCCACGUCUCAUCAAUGGCGAAAUCCGGUAUCACUUCUCCAGAAAUGUCAGUUCUGCAUAGGAGUGCUUCCCGACGGCGUCGAUCGUCAAUCUCCUUCCUUCUCUCAGAACUCCGCUAUCAUGAACGAUUACAUUUCCCAACUCAAAUCGCAUGUCCAAAAGGUGCUUGGCGGAGGAGGAGCAGAAGCUGUGAGGAGGAACCGGAGCAGGAACAAACUUCUCCCUAGAGAGAGAAUCGAUCGCCUCCUUGACCCUGGCUCUUCAUUUCUUGAGCUUUCUCAGCUUGCAGGCCAUGAGCUAUAUGAAGAACCUUUACCAUCUGCUGGGAUAAUCACUGGAAUAGGACCUGUGCAUGGGCGACUUUGUAUGUUUGUGGCUAAUGACCCUACUGUAAAGGGAGGAACUUACUAUCCCAUCACUGUUAAGAAACACCUUAGGGCACAAGAGAUUGCUGCUCAAUGUAAAUUACCGUGCAUAUACCUUGUUGAUAGUGGAGGUGCUUACCUUCCAAAGCAGGCUGAUGUCUUUCCUGACCGGGAUAACUUUGGUAGAAUUUUCUAUAAUGAAGCACAAAUGUCUGCAGAAGGUAUUCCUCAAAUUGCUCUGGUAUUAGGUUCUUGUACUGCUGGGGGUGCUUAUAUACCUGCAAUGGCGGAUGAAAGUGUUAUGGUCAAAGGAAAUGGUACCAUAUUUCUAGCUGGGCCUCCACUUGUGAAGGCUGCUACAGGAGAAGAAGUCUCUGCUGAGGAUUUGGGAGGUGCAACUGUGCAUUGCAAAACAUCAGGGGUUUCAGAUUAUUUUGCUCAAGAUGAAUUGCAUGGACUUGCUAUUGGGAGGAACAUUAUCAAGAACUUCCACAUGGCUGGAAAACUGGGGAUUGUAAAUGAAUUGCAAAAUAUUAUUCCUGAAUUUAAAGAACCAGUUUAUGAUGUAAAGGAGCUCCGUUCAAUUGCACCAGCAGACCACAAGCAGUCUUUUGACAUCCGAUCAGUUAUUGCUCGCAUCGUUGAUGGAAGCGAAUUUGAUGAAUUCAAGAAAUUGUAUGGAACUACUCUUGUAACAGGUUUUGCUAGAAUUUUUGGACAACCUGUGGGCAUAAUCGGAAACAAUGGGAUAUUAUUUAAUGAAUCUGCUCUAAAAGGGGCCCAUUUCAUUGAAAUAUGUACUCAACGCAACAUUCCUUUGGUGUUUCUUCAGAACAUCACUGGAUUUAUGGUUGGUUCAAGAUCUGAGGCAAAUGGGAUAGCAAAAUCUGGAGCAAAGAUGGUGAUGGCAGUUUCUUGUGCAAAGGUUCCUAAAAUUACUAUUAUUGUUGGCGGAAGCUUUGGUGCUGGAAAUUAUGCAAUGUGUGGGCGUGCAUAUAGUCCCAAUUUCAUGUUCCUUUGGCCAAAUGCCAGAAUAUCCGUGAUGGGUGGUGCUCAGGUAGCCCUUUAGCUCAAUAUGUUUUGCAUGUGACUCUAAUGUUGAAUACUUGUCAUUGCUUAGUACCUUUCAAUCUUAGUGUCUAACUUCUUCAUUUGCCUUGUACUAUCCUUUAUCCAUCUGUCUAUAUUUCAGAAGGUCAUGUAGCUUGUAUUUAGGAGGAGGUGAUCCUCUUCAUCUGCUAUAGGAGGGAACUAACAGCAUUCUGAUUCUGUUACCUGUCUGAUCAUUGACAUGUUAUAAUUUACAUACUUUUUAAGGAGCAUCCUUUUUGUUUUUCAUUUUUUGUUGGCAACUGGGCAAAAGGCUUAGAGAUUGUAACUGAGCCCACCCAGGUCGAUUUCUACCCUGAUCCUUGACUACCCUGGUCAAGCUCCAUAGGACUUGUUACGGUGCACUCUCCUAUUGAAAAAAGAAAAUGAGCUCGGACAUCAGUAGUUUGACUGGUCUCCUGAUGGAUAUUGCCCAGUCUAAUGAAAUCAAAUUUAUGCCCUAAGAACUUUGAUUUGUUGAAUCAUGAUCCAGACACUCCUAUGAGCUGAGUUUGGUAAUGUGAUAACAUUAACUGAAUGCUUGAAUUUGAAAGGUGCAAUAAAGUGAUCAAUCUGCUUCUAUAUUGCAAGCUUGAUACUGUUUCUCUAUUGUAGACAUAAUGAAUUUACUUCCACCUCCUAAGGGGAGAUUUGACGGCUAAACCCAUUUUUUUUUUCCAAGAAUCUUAAUCCAGAUAUAAGAACUUUAUGCAAUUUUGUUAUGAUAUGUAACCCUUAUGCUGUGUGUAAUUUAUAAGUUAUUUAUGUGUAUGAUGAAUGCUGAUAAUAAUGUGUAAAUGCAACACAAAAUCCUAAUAAAAGAAAAUAAAAAUUCCCCUUGCGCAUGUUACCUUUUUCUCACUCAAAUUCUUCCUGACCUUGCAUGGUCCUGCAUCUUCCUGAUUUAUUCCUCAGUACAGAGUUAUUGGUCUGAGUCCUGAAUCUUUUGGUAUGUAUGCUCAAAUUGUAGUUGUGAUUUGUAGAAGUAGGCUUGUAAACUCUUCAGUUCUGAUUGUAUC